UCUUUGGUGGUCCAGUGGAUAAGACUCCACACUCCCAAUGCAGAGGGCCCGGGUUCAAUCCCUGGUCAGAGAA
rnacentral:tRNA from 1 species